rnacentral:rRNA from 1 species
UGAGGAAUCUUCCACAAUGGGGGCAACCCUGAUGGAGCAACGCCGCGUGCAGGAUGAAGGCCUUCGGGUUGUAAACUGCUUUUAUAAGCGAGAAAUAUGAUGGUAACUUAUGAAUAAGGAUCGGCUAACUACGUGCCAGCAGCCGCGGUCAUACGUAGGAUCCGAGCGUUAUCCGGAGUGACUGGGCGUAAAGAGCUGCGUAGGCGGUUAGUUAAGCGAAUAGUGAAAUCUGGUGGCUCAACCAUACAGACUAUUAUUCGAACUGGCUAACUCGAGAGUAGCAGAGGUACCUGGAAUUUCGUGUGUAGGAGUGAAAUCCGUAGAUAUACGAAAGAACACCAAUGGCGUAGGCAGGGUACUGGGCUAUUUCUGACGCUAAGGCACGAAAGCGUGGGGAGCGAACC